rnacentral:lncRNA from 1 species
UUUUUUUUUUUUGUGUGUGUGUGGGUGCAUCAAACUAAAGGUGAAGGAGAUGAUAGCCAAGAACUCAAGGCAAGCACCAGUGUAUGUAUGUUUCCCGAACAUUUCCAACUCAAUUCAUUGCUCAUCGAAGUCAUUUCAUUGGCAGUGUCAAGUGCUAUCAGUAGGUCAACACAAGUUCCAUCGCCGAGCGGGGAUCUUUUGUUCUUUAUUUUAACGAAUCAGCAAGGGAUUGUGCUUUAUGGGGCCGCCUAUUGACUAGGCAUUUCAGGAAAGAAGCCUCAGGUGAAUGGGAUUCUAAUUGUGUAGUCGAAGAAUUAGAUGCAUAUUUGCAGAUAAAAAGAUCGUGAUUGGACUUGGGAAGAAGUCGGACCGUGAAAUGGAGAUAAUUAGAAUGUGUUUUCAAUUUUAUAAACGUAGCGAAAAGAAGGUGGUGACCGCCCGGUAGAUACAAUAAUCAAGAAAGGUAGCACUUUCUAAUUAUGGAACGACUUCUAGUUCUUAUCACAUUAGUUGUGGUUUUGUGAAGUUUUACUCCUGGUUGUAUACCUUACGGAGAAAAGAAAAGGGAGUUGACCUUGCUGGAGGUGUUUCUUGACAUGGUACUUUCCGACACAAUGUGCCAGCCCAUUGGAUGCCUGAUUGUCUUGCGGAGAGAAUAAUGAAGCGAUUCUUUCAACGGCAUAUGAGGAUUUAUUGUUCUAAUUCGUUUCUUCAUCCAUCAUUUUUGAACAAUGGGAUUAAUGGCAUCCACAAAGAUUGGUAGUAUAUACAUACAGCUUGAUUUGAGGAGGCGCAAUUGCAUACCAUCUCCUUCGGAGCAAAGCUGACCGUGAGGGAAAGAAAGAAAAAGUGAACUCUCCUCAUCAGCUCGAAAUGAUAUGUUGGGGAUCGAGAUUCCAUUGUGCUGCAUCAUGUGUUCUUGUAUGGUUCAUUUAGCUAAUGUCUUGCCUGCCAUGUUAGGGCCAAAUUAUUGAAAAUCUUGUAUGAUAAGUUCCGCUUUUGAUUUCUCUAAAGAAAGCUCUUGCUUUCGUUUCCCUCUCUUUGAAAAGAAAAUUAUUCUGUUUCGGGAAAAAGGGAAAGAUUUCUGUUCAUGAAAAUGAGGUUUGCUGUUCAAAUGACAAGAUAAAGUUCAAUCAUGGAUCGAGGACACGUCCUUAAUACUGUAGUUAGUUACACUUAAUUCAGCAAAUCUAGGCAAGCUCAAUGUGAAUAAGAUAUAUAUCAUAUAGAAGAAUUGCAUCUGGUAUAUUUGUUGGAGAACAAUAGUUCCUUUACUAAUGCUAAGCAUAAGUCAGGAAUGGUCUUUCAGGAAAAAAAAUUAAGUCAGAAAUGCGGUGGAUAAGAAGAUAAAAAAAAAUUGCAGCGACACCAUUCCGGCAGUGUGAUACUUAGUUUCUUUCGAACGGCGUAGUGCCGGAGGCUGCUAUGCCAAAUGGCCAAAUCCCCUGUUCUUAAACAAUGAUCUCCAUAACCGUUAGUGACCCGAGCUGGGAGCACAUGCAACAUGCUGCUCACAAGAAAAAGUUUCACGGCGGCUGCCUCCAACCCACUGCUACUAGGCCUCAAAUCUGCUCGUGCUGGUGCUGUAAUGUAUUAUAGUACACAGCAUCUGCGAUUGGGGUUUUGGAUUGGAUGAACACAAGCUCCCCUUUUUGCUAAAUCCUGUGCACAAUCCACAUGUGCCGAUACAGUUUUCAUGGACGAUUGCAAGACCAAGCAACAGUUGAGAAUACAUGCGGGUGUUGGCGGCUGAACUGUUUGUGACCAGGAUUCAGCAAGAAAAAUCACUUGCUUUUUCGGCGAGGGAAUACAUGCAUUGGGGAUUAGCAGGGAUUAAGCAGAAGAUCCAGACGAAAAGGCACAUGAUCCGUGACCUAAAACCUGCAAUACAGAUCGGAGAAAGUGAGAGCAGCAAUGGGGGCAGUCAAAUCACAGGCAUCGGCGACAAAGUGGUACGCUGAGUUCAGAGAGGAGACGAAAUUCAUCACCAGACGGGACUAGUCGUCACCGGCAUUGGCCACAAGUUGCAACAAACGGCUUUGUGGUGUGAUGACAAUUUCAACACUUCCUAUUCCUCUCUGAGUAGGGAUUUGUAAACAUAUUUUUUUCUCACAAAAAUCUGAAGAUAUCUAGCGAGAAUCCAAAUCGCACUAGUACAAGAUUUUUCACGCAUAGAAAAACUUUACAUAAAUAUAGGAUCCCCUGAAAAAUCAUCCAAAAUUCAUGCCUGCAUUGAAAAACGGGGCUGACACUGCCAAGUGCCAACACAUGGUACCGUAGCGUUGAUUAGUCAGAGUGGUACACCAAAGACCCAACCAGAAGCAGAAAGGCAAGCGGCCGGGACGUCUAAAUGGCACGCAAGUCCAAUCCUGCGCGUCCCGUCCGACCACGGACGGCGGUGCGCCUGGGACUUGACGGGCGAAGCACGCACGCCCCGGCCAGCUCGAUCGUACGACGACGCUGGCCGGCCGGAUUUGCCACCGCUGGGGUCGCGUAACCGGGGCCGGCAGCGCCACGCCCCCGCGGCCACAUCGGUGCCGGCCACACGGGAGGAGCACCGGCCACCUGCGCGCGCGCCGGCGCCGCCCGCCAACCGCGGCGCGAAACGUCGCCGCGCCCACCCGGCCGAUGGCGACGCGGGCCGUCGCGUCCUGCGCCUCGCCUGGACGCCUCGCCCCGCGCGCCUUUUCGGCGACCCAACCGGAGAGCAGUGGUCUCGUAGCAACGUCUCCUUUGCUCCCAUUCGCUACUGAUGGCGCACGCGUGCGGCGGGGUUGAGAUGAUCCACUGAUGUGAGUGAGGUUCUCCAUGUCAGGGUGUCACCCCACCACGGAAGAAAGAUGUGGCGUACGGGCACGAAAAAUUUUGGGUCUCCAAGUCGUUUACUAGGAUUCUAGGAAGGAUGAUGACGAAGAGGGAUAUGUGCUUUGGUAAACCAUGGCUUCUCUGACUAAAAUCUCGCAUGCAUGUGUGGUGUAAACAUGCUGAUGCGUUUUUCUCUGCGGUCUGUUUUUCCGACCAUGUCUAUCAUAAUGAUAAAUGGAAUGCUCCUACAUCUCUUUGUAGCUAACCAGUGUUAGAAUAGAGAUUUACAAGAAUUUGUCCGUGAACCCGUGAUCUUGUAGCUGCCGAGUUUCAUAGAACACUCUCUGCCUCCAAUGCAACUGCAGAGAAAAAGAAAAUGUUUCACCAUGCGCAUAUACUCAUGUGCAAGUUGUGUUUGUUCAUCAUUAGCCUUUUCUCUAGAAGUUGCGCACUUGCGCAUGAACAUCUCUUUCUUGGCAUAAAGCACAACUCUACUCACAUCUGCUCAGAUCAUUCCCCAGUUUAGAUGCCUUUUAAUUGUGUUGAGUAUUAUAUUUAGUUAUUCAUCCUAGUGAACUCCCCUCUCAUUGGACUAAUGUGGAUAAGCCAUAAUCAUAUCUCUCUUUUCUCUCGUGCACACAAGCGCAUCUCAAUUCGUAGGACCUAAUUAAUUAAGCAACAAGCAUUACAAAGACAUGCCUAAUCGAAUCUUCUUAUAAAAUGUUUUAAGGAGAUCGAUUUCACAAGGAACCUACACAUUUGGAUUUGAGUCCUAGAUUCAUUGUGAGUGUUUGGAUCUUUCUAUAUUUAUUUCAAAAAUUAAAACCAUAUAUCACUGAAUUGAGUGUCUACUUUGUUGGUUUCUUAUGUACGUAGCGAACGCUAUUCUUAUUUUUUUUCUUGUAGUAGACAACAUACCCAUUGAUAAUGAAAUGCAUAUGGUGAUCUUGUCAAUCUCAAGAUCAACUGCACCAGUCUUUGGAGGUGGUCAUAUGAGUGAGCAUGCGCACGUAUGCAAACAUUUGGGUUCGUGCUGUGUUUGGGGAAAAAGUAUGACCCAUAUAAAACAAACUUUUGCGGUUAUUUUACAAAGAAAGUAACCUAGGGAAUAGAACAGAUAUGAUUAGGACAAUUACAAACAUAGUGGCUGCUGCCGAGAAAAAUGACAAGGUUGGUAGAUUGGUUGCUGCCACGAAAAAGGAGUCUCUAGUGUCAACAAAACCUUGACGCCUAAGAUUAGGCCAAAACAACGGCACGCAAAAGUUGGGUCGCACCCUCGAGGUGAUGCAAACAAACUUUGGCACGCAUGUUAAAGUCUGCUUACGCAUCUACUUUCAAUUAAUUAAGCUUACAACAACUAAGGUCGUGACGCACUAGCAGCAAUGCGCGGGGGUGACGAGGAUAACGAAGGCCAUUAGGGCAGGGCAGGGGAAAACUUCUUCUAUCGCCACAACAUCCAGAGACCAAAUUAAUAGAUGCCAUGCCGUCCUAAACCAAAAAUGUGUGCGACCAAACUUUUGAAACUUCAGUCAAUAUUAUCUACUACUUACUACUAUAUGUAAGUGCUAGUUACGAGAAUUGCAUCGACAGAUUCGCCGUAACCAUAUUUUUCUCAUCUUACUGGUUUGCAAAAUGUAAUAGCCAUAAUGUUCAUGGGUGUCCAUUCUGAGUCCAAGUAAAUCGGCCCAGAUGCAGCACUAAUCAAAUGGCGAGGACCCAACAAAGGCAACUUACGUUGGUCUCAUGGCGACUAGAAGAGGGGCCGUGUCGCCAUCGCCCCCGUCGCCACUCGCUGUCAAGCUGCUGACGCCGGGGCAGUCGCCGUCGCCUUUGCGGGGGCACUCUGACGCCGGCGCGCGACGCUUUCAGGUGUCGCGCACGCAACGAGGCGCCUCUUACGCAGGGGGGCGCCUUUUCGCGUGGGUUUCGACUAGUUUUUCUCCCGAAUUCUGGCCAGCGUGCGGCUUUGCGGGCUACGCCCUGUUGUUUAUGGUAGCCGGAUUUGUUUGUGUUUAAAUUAGCUCGCUUGAUUUUGCUUGACGUGGAGAAUAGUGCGGGAACACAGGUGGUGAUCGUCGGAAAGCUGUGAGAAAACUGGGCGAGAAAAGGCGCCUGAAUGGUCGUCCGAACUCCAAAGGGCGCAGUUCAUGGCAUGGAUUGGAUAAUUGUUGCGGUUCGCCAUUAGCGCAUACUAAUAUUGAAGCGUGGUGCUUCGUUCGUCUUAGUGCCAGCUAUGGGCGUGUCUCUUAAUUUGUCGUCCUAAUCUCGUAGCUAGAAGCACGUGUCUACUACACGAAGAAAGACAUCAUAUAUGAUAUGGACAUAUGGCUCAUCUCCCCAUCGAUGGCUCGUUUGUCGAUCAUGCUAGACAUUGUAUAUGUACCUACGUGGAGUGGAAGCCAGUGCACCUAACCUGUGGCCUGUGAAGCUUGCACUCUCGUCUCCGUUUCUGGAACGGACUUGUUUUCUUGAUUCCAGCAUGCAUAAGUAAAUGGUUCUCGACUUCUCAUGUCAAACUUCUUCGUUCCAACCAUGUCCACCGUCACAUUUAUAGCAUUACUACAAUUUUUGCAUACCGUUAACUAAGGACCUGCUCCAUGUUUCAUCCUUUGGCUAUAGAAAAGGUUCUUCAGAUGGAACUGUAAGAAAAUGUUCUCCACAGGGCCUUAAAAAGUUAAUAUGAAUUCUCCAUGAGUGGUAAGCACGUUUUUCUUUAUCUGACAGUAUUGAAGUUUGGUCCUUGUCUCAAACUCUCAAGUUCAUGCGAAUGGAAGAACAGCUCUAAGGUCCGGUCCACUCUGUUUCGCUCACUGGGACCUAUUUUUUCUGGACCUGAGAGCCCAAUGCGGCUGAACUUAAGCAACAUUCGGUCGGUCCUAGUACUACAGUUGGGCCUCAACAAGGUGAUCUGGGCCGGAACAACAGAAUCCCACUUGGCCACUUCCACCUCAUCCGCUGCACGACGCACGUCGGCCUCCUCGUGCCGGUGCCGUGCGCCCCCUCGCCGGCCGGGCGCGACCCAAUCGCCGCCCGCCGCGAGCUCCUCCCCCGCACACACUCCGCUGUCCAAAGCAAUGCCUCCCCCAACUGUCCCCUUCUUCCUAACCUCCACCACGCUCGCCACCACUACGAAAAAACCGCAGCCGCAAGCGCAACCGCCGCCGCCGCCAUGCGACGCGGAAGCCCAGGCCUCCGCCUCCACCUCCCACGCCUCGGCGGCGUCCGCGUCGUACGCCGCGCGCAUGCGGCUCAACCCGCACCUCGCGCUCCCCCUGUUCGACCACCUCCUCCGCUCAGGCGCCGACCCGGACCCCGCCGCGUACGCGCUCGCGCUCGCGUGCUGCGCGCGCGGGAGGGACCGCGCCGCGGCCGCGCAGCUCCACGCGCACGCCGCCAAGCGCGGGAUCGUCGCCUCCCACCGCCGCGUGCGCGGCAGGCUCGUCCACGCCUACGCCGUCUGCGGGAUGCUCCCCCACGCGCGCAGGGUGUUCGACGGCGGGACCGACAACGACAUGUUCGCCUGGAACUGCCUGCUGCGCGGGUACGCUCAGGAGGGUGGGGACGCGGACGCGCUCCGCGAUUUCUUUGCCAGGAUGCCGUUCCGGGACAGCAUCUCGUGGAACACAGUCCUUUCGUGGUGCGUCGCCAAUGGUGAGUACGAUGAGGCAAUCGCGGUGUUCCGGGAGAUGCUGGCGAGCCAGGAGUGCCAGCCUGACAGGGUGACAUUAGUGAGCGUUGUCUCGGCAAUCGCGUACUUGGGGGCACUCGCUUUGGGGCUGUGGGCGCAUGCAUAUGUCAUCAGGAAAGGGGUUGAAGUCGAGGAGAAAUUGAGCUCGGCAUUGAUAAACAUGUACUCAAAAUGCGGGUUCAUUGAGGGUGCAGUUUAUGUGUUUGAGAACGCUGGAGAAAAGAUGAGCUUGGAUACUUGGAAUGCAAUGUUAGCUGGUUUCACAGCGAAUGGUUGCAGUGCAAGGGCUCUGGAGCUCUUCACCAGGAUGGAGUCAAAAGGACUGGUGCCUAACAAGAUUACAUUUAACAGUGUACUGAAUGCUUGUAGCCACGGGGGGUUUGUGCAGGAAGGUAUACGGCAUUUCAAGAGAAUGUUCAAAGUUUAUGGUAUUGAGCCUGACAUUGCACAUUAUGGUUGCAUGGUGGAUCUGUUCUCCCGUGCAGGGAUGUUUGAGAAAGCUGAGGAGAUCAUCCAGAUAAUGCCAAUGGAGCCAGAUGCUUCUAUGUUGAAGGCCCUAUUGGCUGCUUGUAGAACUCAUAAGAACUUAGAGUUGGGAAAAAAGGCUGGCCAUAGGCUUAUUGAGGCUGCCCCAAAUGAUCACGCAGGGUAUGUGUUGCUAUCCAACAUAUAUGCACUGGAUGGCAACUGGGGAGGAGUGCAUAAAGUGAGGAAGCUUAUGUUGGAUCGCGGUGUGCUGAAGAUCCCUGGGAGCAGUUCGGUGGAACUUAAUGGCGUAAUUCAUGAGUUCAUUUCCGGAGAUAAAUGAGAUUUGUCAACAGCUUAAAAAUACAGGAUUUACUCCUGACACUUCACAAGUGCUGCUAGAUAUUGAUGAUGAAGAUGUGAAAGAGAGCUCGCUAGCUCUUCAUAGUAAGAAGCUUGCGAUAGCCUUUGGGCUGACCAGCACUGCUCCUGGCACGCCUAUUAGAGUAGUAAAUAACCUCCGGAUCUGCGGAGAUUGUCAUAAUGCCAUAAAACUUCUAAGCGAGAUUUACGGGAGGAGCAUAAUUGUUAGAGAUGCAAAUCGAUUUCAUCAUUUCAGAGAAGGGUCUUGUUCUUGCGGGGAUUACUGGUAAUAUUUUGAUUGCAAUGAUGUUCCUUUAUUUUUACUUAUUACACUGAAAUGUAUAGUAUAUGAGACAACUGUUGCCAAUGGUUAUUAUUGACCAUUUGAGAAGAAUUGUUAAUGUGCCAUGAAGCUCAUGACUUUAUUGCAUGUCUAUUGAAUACUAUGGUACCCUUGACCCAACAACAUGAUUGACAUCUCUUAUGUCUCAGCAACUUGAAACCUAAUUAUUGUCCUUUUCAGUCAGCAUGAUUCAAAACUGAACAUGAACCUGAGAUGUAUGUCCUACGCAAAAGUGUCAUUAAAUUCAGAUAAAUUUAGCUUCUUUCAUAUGGUAGGGACUCAGAACCAUCAAUUGCCUGAUACAUACUUAAUGCUGUUUUUCCUACUGUACUACUGUCAUUACACAGUUCAGUUUGUGGGUGGCCACUUCACAUGAACUUGCAUUUGAAAGAGAAACACAUAGGAGAGGCGUUAGGGCCAACUAGGCCUGUAGCUUUCCUUUUGAGGCAGUAUGGUUCAUUUUAGUUUCUGUCUGGCAAGGAGGGCAACUAUACUUUAAUUCAACCAGUUAGCUUUUAUCAUUUUUUUAAUCACACAUAAGAUUCAUCUACCUGGUUGUACAUUUCUAUUUUUGCACAUAUGAUUCAUUAAGUGUUUAAAUCUUUAUUUGCACAUUAUUGCCACUCACUACCACUACAUUGACUCUGUAGAAGGGUUGCAUAGCAUUAUUAUAUCAUUUAAUAGGUAUGUAUGGUCCAGUGCCUUUAAAUAUUUCAUAGUGCCUCCUUGGUUUGUAUGCAUGUUAGGCUUGGUCAAAUUUUUUGAAAUGGAAUUAUAGAUCACAAUAAAGGGCAGGAGCAAAGUGGGAUUUAGCUGUCCCAUGGGCUACACCCUUCACAUGCUUUGGUAAAGGCACGAUAGAUACAAUGGACUUGCUGUUUUCUUCUUCCUUAACUGUGAAAUUCAUGUGCUAUUAAUGUUUUUUAUUGAAUAUGUGCUAGAAAUGUUAUAUUUCUGAUAUGGCAAUUACCUCCAGUACUGCUGUUCAAUAUUUCACUUGCAUCUUUCCAAAAAAAAAAAAACUAUUUCACUUGCUGCCCUGCUGUUGAUUUCGAAAGAGACAAAGCGUUCUGCACAAGAAAUUAUAGCAGUUAUUAAACUGAGCAAAAGUAAAGACUGUUAUUUGUGAUAAGGACAGAUCAACAAUGUUGUGCAGAGUAAUCACUUCCACCGUGCUGUUGUUAUUACUGCCUGUUGGAUGUAGGGGGGCCUUUGUUUGAACAUAAAGACGAAGAGACACCUUUUAUACAAAUGCAUGCUUAUCAGCCAUUUUCAAGCACAGAUGCUGUCAAAUUUGAACAUAUGUGCUAUUCUUUUCUGUGUUGAAUCGUCAAGAUAAGGAGGAAUCAUCACAUUUUAUGUUUGCUACUGCUUUAGAGGUAGCACUGAACCCAGAGGGCCAUAAGAUUUAAAUCUAAUAAGUAACCCUGUUCCUUUUUAAACAAAAUAUCUGUAGACUUAUUAGAGAAGACCAAGCAAACUUGGUAGUUCUACGUGAAGUAUCAUGGACAACAGCACUUGUUCAGUUGGAUAAUUUGCACUCUAGUUAUUUGAUACAUUGAAAUAGGCACCAAAAAAGCAAAGACUACUAUAGUGAGUGUCCAGAUCUAGUACAAUAUGUCUGUGAACUUUUUUUUCUUCGCACACAAGGCAACAAACACACGCAUGCAUACACAGAUGCGCACGCACAUAAUGUUAUAUGAUAUACAGUCGAAUUGCCCUAGCUCCAUGCCAAUCAUUAACAGGUUGGCCUUGACAAAAUAAGCAGGCUGCUGCCCUUAUCAACUCUAUUACUUUAUUUCCCCUCUCGGGGAUAGUUCUUUAGUGUUCCCCAGAUAUGUAUUUUGCAGUUUAAUCUCUAGCUUACAGCUCUAAUCACUACUCUAGGAGUAUAAUAAGACCAUUAGCGUACGACAUAAUGCAUAAUUAGGGUUUAGAAUAAUGGGUAAUUUCCAAGUCUUGGUUCGGAUGAUCAUAACUCCCCCAAGGUUACACCUAACAUAGACCUUUACCAAAAAUAUACUCACUUGCAUCUCGCGUGCAGCUGGCUUUGCCACGGACUGUGCUUUGUUUAUGGUUUUCAGAAAGGUGUGGCAUACGCUUUCCUAAGCAUAAUUAGAGAUCCUGUACCCUAUGCACAUGGGAAUCGAACACUGAAUUAGCACACAGUGUGUGUACUCGCGUCGUUCAGAUAUUAUGGUCUAGCUUGUACUACAAUCGAAUCAUCCAUGUUCAACUCUCAUCAUUCACUCUUGGUAAUGAUCCCAUUAAGACUGCUUUUGUGUUCUUUGCUUAUCGAUGCAUCUCUCUAGUAACUGUAUGCACAAACUUUUGAAGCAUGUACAAAUUAUGGUAGGCGUGGUGGAUUUGGUCUGAUCAUUCUGUUUUACUUUAGAGAAGCUUAGCCUGUCCUAUCAGAACCCUUUCUGUUCUCCUCUGGAUCUUAGAUUAUUAGCGUUUAUAUUCUGAUUCAAAACCCCAAAUCAUUUGUUGGUAUGCUCUUCUGAUGAUUCCCAAGUUUUGAAGGGUGCCAGUGCAGUUUAUUGCAGCGAAGAAAAGGAACAUCUCUGAAGCUGUUAAGCAGGAGGACAGUCUACACAGGGAGCAGGGUCUGCGGGAUGAACGAAUCCGAUGUCGAAAAUCUUAUCUUCAUAUAGCAUGGGUUGUGUUUUUUUACCUUUAGACUUACUACCCCAAAAGAGACGAUUGCCAGCUAAUCCAAUGCAGGCACUGCUCCAUUUGUUUACUUUGAGUUCUUUGGCUGCUAUUUCUUGGAGCUGUUUUGUUUGCAGGAAUCCUCUGACUUCGCUAGCCCCUGAUGUCCCAGUGCCGACAGGUAGGGCCCUAGCGGCACAAGAAGUCUCAUCAAUAUCAACAUUGUGUAUCCUGUAACUAUGAUUUUCUUCUUCCCUCCUCCUGAAGAGUGAGUGAAGGAAAAAAAAUAUGAAUAUGACGGUCGCUCUCUUAUUUUUCAGCUCGGCCUCAGCUCCUGUACGUUGCCAGCAUCCAGCAAGCUCUGAGCACUGAGCUGAUAUCAUCCUGCCCUCGCAUUAUCCGGUUUCCGCUGCUGCAGGCGAUGUGAUGCGAGCGCCCAAGCAUAUGGUACACACGAAUAUGCACGGCAAUGAUUGGGAAAGAAGACACAGAUCUGUGGCAACCUUUCUGGCGAGCAUAAUGAUGCGCGAGAAGAUAAUCUGGCGGGUGGUCGGGGCCCCUUCCCCCAUCCCUCAAUGACUGCACGAGCCGAGCCCGCCCCGGAGCGGCAACGGUGAAUGCGCCGCGCCGAGGCCGGCCGCCGCUGCUGUGCACGGAGCCGUGCAAAAGGAGCGCGGCAAGCCGGCAACUGGUCAUGGCUCGCGAAGGCGACGCGUAUGCCGUCUUCUUCCCGGUGAGGUCAAGAAAGCUGGAUGGCCGUGGCUAGUAAUCUACCAAGACUUGUUAUCCACGUAGCCGGCCUGUGGUCCAUUCCAUGGUCCAUUUCCUGGUGAGUUUGAAGUCCUAUCCUUUGCAGUCCUUAGUUUACAUUUCUCCCAAGAUUCGGUUUCGUUUGCUUUCCCUGCUACCGCUUUAAGAGCGAGCAGCUUGGCGAGGGCGCCACUAAUGUUUAGGCAGGAGAAAAGGCAGCUGCUGGGAGACGAGAUGGUGGGAGGACGACGAGGCUGCAGCUGCAGCAGCAGCUGUGAUGGUGCUGAAAGAAAGGUAAAGCGGGCAGGGGAAUAACGAGUAACUUGCAGGCCACUUCUCGCGGUGUUUUAGUGAGCAUGGAGGGUAGAUUUGUGAGGGGUCCUGGUGCUUUUCUUCAGAAACCCUGGAUUUAAAAGCUUAAUGGAGGGGGGCAAAAGCGUGUUUGGAGUGAAUAAAAGUAUUGCAUGGGCGGGGGUGGCUUUAACUAAUCUAAAGCUAGAUUCGAGCUCGCGCGCGCCCCGAGGCUAACGAAUAGUUUUAACUUGUUUAUUUGCCGCCAAAGAAAGAUUGAGAUUAGGAGAAUCUGAACCCCAUCUCUUUCAGCUGUGCCUGAAGCUCGGCACUAAGCUAAGGCUUACAGUUUCCGGUUGGUCUGCCCCUGCUUACAAAACUCGAAAUCCUGCUUGUUUGCGACUGAAUUUCACAUCCAACUGUUAAGAGAGUGGCCUGACCUGAAGAUAAGAUUAGUGGGGAAAAUGUGAAAGAAAAGGGGGUGGGGAGUUUCGUGUGGGUGAAAUGAAAGUAGGUUUGCUUUGCUGUUGGGGUAAGUAGCUAAUGCCUCGAUCGGCACCCCCUGCUACUGUUGACCACCAUUUUCUUCAACAAAACUAAUCAUGCCGAUCACGAAGGGCGUGUAAAUAAUUCUCCGUGCCGGGCAUAAAAAAACUGCAACAGUCAAAUAAUGAUUCGGGUGGCAUAAUUUACAGCCAGGCGCCUUGAGGAAAGCGAGCGGUUGGCGCCCAUAAACAAAUGCCCGUGAGGGUUGGCACUGUCAGGGAUGCCGGGAUGGCAAUGCUCCUCGUUGCUCUACGCUGCUGUGAAGAACUCUCGAUCGGCUCAGCUCAGCUCCCCUUCCUCUUUACGCUUGCUCUCUCUCUCUCUGAUGUGUAUGGAGUAAGUAAACAAAAGCAAAGGUAAACAGCAUGAUUAAAGGGCUGUUAACAAAGAUAAAGGCGAGGCCGCCAGGGGCACUUAAAAAUAAGCUCCAUCAAGGGUUAAACAACACCGGCCAUGGUGGUGGUGAUUAGGAGGAGUGUAAAGCGGCUGCCUGCAGCUGCAACAUCGCCUUGCCUGCCCGCUGUAAUCAAUCCCUGUGCCUGUGGCUCGCCGUGUACUACCCAGUGCCCACUACUGGUGAAACUACAAGAGCUAGUGAACAAUUGCUAGUAGCCCUAUAAGUCUGACAAGCCUUUGCCUACAACCUCUCUCUCUCUCUCUCUCUCUCUCUCUCUCUCUCUCUCUCUCUCUUCUUAUAUAGUCUAGGCUCUCCCCUCUUUCGUAGCUCUUCUUCCUAUGCCUCCUCGCCGGAACAGAUAGCAUCAGAAUCUCCAGUGCCCGGCCAUCUUUCCUUUUCCUGCCAUAGGCCGUGACGAGAGCUUCUUGCUUGCGUGCUUGCCCCGGCUAUCAUAUUGCCUGCCUACGCAGCCCUCUGGCCAAUGGAGGAGCUAGCUCUUCUUCUCUAGCCUUUCUCGUCUCCCAUUCGUCCAUUGACCGUGGGUGAGCUCUAUCUCUGUGCUAGCUGCUCGCUCGGGUACUCUACUCAAGUUGUGAGCAAGAUCAACCGAUGGACAUGAACGAGAGCGGCGAGAAAGGGAUGGAGGGCAACGCGUCCUCCGCCGGCGCCGGCAUCCCGGUGGAGUGGCAGACCCAAUUCAGCGCCGCCGCCUUUGCGUGCCCUCAGGCACAGCAGCAUCAGGGCCCCAUGAUGGACUCCGCGUUCGCGACCGCCGGCAUGUGGGCGUCCACCUCCCAGGCCAUGGUGCUCUCCGACGUCGGCGGCGCCAUGUCCGCCACGCGGGGCGGCGGCGGCUUCUUGGCGCCGGUGCCCGGGUUCCUCCCGCAGGGCCUCGGCCAUUUCCCCGUCGACUCCGGCUUCAUCGAGCGCGCCGCGCGGGCGUCCUGCUUCGGCGGCGGCGGCGGCGGCGGGGUGAUGGGCGGCGCCGGCUUCGGCGCGGCUGAUCAGCACAUGAACGGCGCGUUCAGUGGCUCCUCCGAGGCGCUCCUGGAUCACCAGAGGAAGGACGGCAACGAGAAGGGCGAGCCGGAGCUCGGCCGGAACGGCCACGACGGGGUGCCGAGCUCGGAGGCCGCCGGAGGGGACUGCUCGUCCAAAGGGACGUCGGACUCCAAGAAGAGGAGAAGGCCAAACGAGGUGAGCACUGUUCUUGCUUCCCGUGUCUGAAACCUUUCUACCGUCAUUAUUUGAAAAGUCUAUCGACUCGAGUAGCCAAGUUAAUUAACUGGUGAACGAACUAGAUGUUAAACUGAUGGAUGCAUCUCUCUGUGUUCUGUCUGAUGAAAGGUGAUGGGAGGCGAUCAGGUUCAAUCCUCCAACCUGCCCGCGGAUUCGGCAAACGAGAGCGUGCACAGCAAGGACAAAGGCGAGGAGAGCAGCCCGGCAACAACCACCGGCAAGUCGAAAGGGAAGGGGGCGAAAGAGACCUCCGAGUCCCAGAAGGAAGACUACAUCCAUGUCCGGGCUCGGCGCGGACAGGCGACCAACAGCCACAGCCUUGCAGAAAGGGUACGGACUCGAUCACCGGUUGGCACCCCAGUGUUCACCGUUUGGUGUGCAGCUUUUGAUGCGCCCUGAAAUUGACAUGGCUGGUUCUGAAAACUCAUCUUUUCCUGCAGUUGAGAAGGGAGAAGAUUAGCGAGAGGAUGAAGCUUCUGCAGGACCUUGUUCCCGGCUGCAGCAAAGUAAGUCGUUCUAGGGAAACGAAGUUGUGUAUUACUAUGUGUUUACAUAACAAUUCUAACAAGUUUAUGUUUCAUGAACUGAAUUCAGGUCACUGGGAAGGCGGUGAUGCUUGACGAGAUCAUCAAUUAUGUUCAGUCCCUGCAAAGACAAGUUGAGGUAAUCAUUAACAUCCCCCUUGUUAUGUCAAAAUCUUCACAACUUUGUCUGAACUAAUUAAGGGUUUAGCUAUGGGCAGCGGUCACUAAAAAGGUAGUAAUCACUAGAUUUUCUUUAACUAAAAGUAAUCGCUAGAUAUUGAUACCUGAAUAUGAAUAAUAUUUCCUGUAACCGCGAUUGCUUACUGAUGGCAAAAAGCAAAAUAUUGAGCUCAUAUUUAUCUCGCAGUUCCUAUCGAUGAAGCUUGCGACAGUAAACCCAAGGCUUGACCUCAACAUAGAAGGGCUUCUGUCGAAAGAUGUAUGAUGCUUCUUGCAAUCUCAUUCUCCUUUGUUAAUUAUACAUACAAGAAUCUAACAAAGCCAGAUUUUUCUUCUCCUACCAUCAGCUUCUUCGCUUCCCUGGUGUCUCUUCAUCUUCCCUCGGAUUCUCCCCAGAGAUGAUCCACCCACAACUACAGCUAUCGCAACCAGGCCUGAUUCAGGGGGGCGCUGCUGGCAUGGCCAAUCCAGACGUGUUCAGGAGAAUCAUACAGGCACAGCUAAGUGCUAAAGACGGAUCUCAGGUUAGCAUCUUUCCAAAAUGAUUGUAGUGCACACAAUACUCUAUUCUUUCUUAAAAAUAUCAGCGCAGCCAACAGUAUUCACUUUAGUAUUCAGCUAGCAGUUGACAUAGCUCCUUAAGCUAUCAUGUAGCAACAUAAUUUUUCCCAAAGAUUGCACUUGACAGUCAACAGCCCUUUACAUAUCCAAUAAACUAGCUCAACACCUACAUACAGUACGCUCUUUGUAGUAAUAGACAAUCCAUAGAUUCCUCAAACACAAAGAGGCUCUCCUACUCAAAUGCUUCUCUAUUCUUGAGCAAGCUUGUGAGUUUGGCAGCAAAUUUUUGGGAAAUAUGAACAAUCUGAACUAGCAGUAAACACUCCUCCCAAGUUCAUCCAAGCACACACAGGCUGGCUAACUUUUCGUUUCCGAUUUCCUGGAGCAGAUGCCCCACGCAUUGAAUGGGCCGUUCAGUGACGUCGCGCAGAUGGGGUACCCGUCCCUGGGGUCGUCGGCACAGGACUUGAGCAUCAGGCCGUCGCAGGACGGGUUCCAAAUGUGACGCGCAGUCUGGCCCAGCUGCAUUGCACAUACUAAGAGCAAGGCUUUUUUUUUCCAUCUGAUCGACGAACAUGCAGGAGCGCAGGGGGGCACACAUAUAAACUGGCGCUGCUACUGCCGGAGCACAGCAGCAGCCUUUAACUGCGUCGUCGUCCACGGCCGGGUUUUUAUUGUGUUCAGAACUGAGAAGAGAUCGAGGAGGGAGGGAGCCCCCACGGGCGGAAGCAGCCAGCGCUGCGCUUGGGAGGGAAUCUGUGACGUUGCCGGGCUGGAUGGCUGGAAAUUCUGCCUCUGCUGGGGGUGGUAGCGCCCAUUAAUCAUGGCGCACAGUGCAGUAACAGUGGCUGCGUUUGUAGCGAGCAGAUGAGCUGGUGCUGCUUCUGUGUGUGUGUGGCAGGAUGUAAUGUGGGGAGCUUUUGGUUAUGUUCAUUCGGUUGCUUUUGUUUUGGAUGCUUCAUGGAUGCUAAACACUCCUAAAUGGGGGGCGACGUUUAUUAGUUAAAAGAUCAAAAUAUUUCGGUAAAUUGUGUUUGUAGUGCAAUGAAGGACGUACGCUAUAUCGUACUGCAUUCUCGUGCAUUUGUUCGUCCCAAAGUCAUAUGCGAAUCGUUGGCUUGUUUGGUUGGUUACAGGAUCUUCCCUCUUGUGGCGAGAUCAUCUUUCAUCACAGCUUAGGGGAAACGGUGGAUGCAUGACAGAUGAAAUGAACUGUAGGGAGAAGAAUAUGUGCCGGGUCACGACUAGGACAAGUUAAGAUCUUUCAUCUCAGUCUGGAGAGAGAGAGAGAUGAGCUCGUUCCCUCGAGACACAUAAUUAGCAUGAAGAAUCGUUCUCACCCCAACUUGCGACUGGUCACGCACAGUGAAACUUCUGUUCACUCUACAGCCGCCGCCGAUGUGGACAACCGACGCGACGCAGGCAAUAAAACAAGCGGUUUGGUAUAUUCUGCCGGUGUCGCCACGGUUCCAAGACAAGGCAACGCGCUGCUGCUCGGGCGGCCCCUUUGUAUCCGCCCGAGACGUGCCGGACCCCUGGGCGCGACGCCGUACGCUGGCGCGAUUCCGGCCGCGUGCGCCAUGCGGCCAGCUCGCUCGUGGGUUCGUGGGUGCGGGCUCCGGCGACCGCGACGACGGAUCGGACAAGCGUCUGAGCGUGCGCUCGUCGCGCACUCCGAUCGUGCUGCCGGUGGGAUUCGGCACGUUUCCUCUCCUCUGUAUGCCCGUCCCGCCCGAGCGUGUGCGGCGACCGAUAACUGAGCGGUUAGGCCGCCGGAUGGAGAGAAGCUGGGAAGGCGCGGAGAGGAGCGCGCGUUGGGCCGUUUCGGAGGCGAUCCCGGCAUCCCGCUCACGGCUCAUGGGCAGAAGUUUUUUUUCCGAACGGACGGCAAGAGAAUUGCCCUAAAUUUUAUUAGAAGAAGAGAACAAAAUAAGAGAGAGACAACUAGUGGCAAAAAGAAAAAACACCCCACAUGACUAAAAAAUUGGUACGAACACCCCACACGACUACGGACCGACACGACUAAAACACGAACAAACUAGCAAGAAGGAAGAAAACUAAGAAGAGGGUGGCGGUUCCAGCGAUCCUGAUGCUCGGGUUGCCAACUGAUAUUGGUAAAACUCUUCUCGAAUAAGGAAAGCCACAUCAUCCACUGGUUUGAAAGUUUUCUGUUGCGUUCCUUCUCCAAAUAUUCCACCAAAAGUAAAUAACGAAGCUAUCAAAAUGGAAUCUAUUUUCUUUGUUGAUAACGACUCGGCAUCUUUCCACUAUCUAUGUAUGGAGUUCGUGGAAUUUUCCCUUGGCAAAUGUUGUAGCUAGAACCAAUUGACUAGUCUCAACCACACUGCAACGGUGCAUGUACAAUUUUUGCACAAGUGUUUAGGCGUCUUGGGUUUUGUAUUGCAAAGUUUGCAUAUGGGAUCGUAGGGCCAUCAUCUUUUCUCUAGGUUGUCUGACGUUAAAAUUUUUCUAUGAAGAAGAAUCAUGCAAAAAUUCUACAUUUUGGUUCGCUUUCCAAAUUGGGGUAAUUAACAGUUUCUUUGUUUGCCCAGAGAAUUGUAUACGUUAUGCGCUCUUUGUAAUAAUUCACCAUCAGGUGUCUAUCACCAGAAUAUUUCAUCUUCAGCUUUAGGGUUGCGAUUUAGCGGGUGUAUCUCCUCCCAUAGGGUUGUGUACUCGCUCACCUCCUCUAUCGUCGUUAGUGGGCACACUUGUUAGAUCCAAUAAUUGUCUUGUAAAGCCUUCUGCACAAUAACGUUUUUCUUUUUGAUUUGUUGAAUAGGCAAUGCACUAUCUAUUUUGGUGCUCUCCCAUGGAUCCAACUUGAGUGCUAAAAAAUUGUUUAGCUGCCUCGGCACCCCACUUUAACCACCGUCGAGGCGUUCAAAAGAUCUUUAUCAUCCUUGUCACACGGGAUGUCCAAUCCAUUCCAUGCAUGGUCUUGAGUCAUGUUUCCAUUGGAACCAACACCAACGAAGUCUAAGUGUCUCGCUAACCUUUAUAAAUCAAGAAUUCCGAGUCCUCCUAUGUCUUUUGAUAUGCACACCAUUGGCCACUUGACUAAGCAAUGCAUUGACUUUCUAGUUCAUCUCCCUUCCAUAAGAAAUUCCUUCUCAUUCAGUCGAUUUGCUUUAUGAGCCACUUUUAUGCCGGGAACACUAUCACGUGGUAGAUUGGUUGAGCGGUUAAUACAGAUUUCACCAAGGUCUCUCCCUGCUGAAGAGAGAGAUUCCCCUUUCCAACCCGGCAGCCUACCGCCGAUUUUGUCGAGAAGUGGCUGAAUGUCAACCCUCCUAAGACGUCGGGUAUAUAAGGGAAAGCUUAGAUAUUUCCCUGGGAACAUGCAAAUCUUUCCAGGGAAAUCCACCAAAGCUUCUGUUUUGCUCAUGUUGAUUUGGAGUCCUGAACAAUUUCCAAAUAAAUCUAGCAGCUGGUUUACAUGUUGUAAUUCCCCUCGAUCUGGAUUUGCGAAUAAUGUCGCGUCAUCCGCAUAAAGUGAGCAACGCAAUUUUGCCACCCUCGGAAGAAUUUGCUUUAAAAAUUCUUUUCUAGCAGCUAGCUCAAUUAAUUUUUGAAGGGGAUCCAUGGCUAGUACGAAGAGCAUUGGCGAUCCCCUUGACGAAGACCUUUGGCAUAUUUAAUUUGUUUCCCUAGUAUUCCAUUUUUUUUUCCCAAAACCUAGAGCUUCUAAGGUUUCAAGGAGAAAAAUCUAUGAGUCAAAAGCCUUUGAGAUGUCUAACUUGAUGAACAGAGUUGUCCUUUUUGAUUUAUGCAAUGCCUUGAUCACACUUUGGACAUAGGUGAAAUUGUCAUGAAUACAACUUUUUUUGAUAAAACCAUUUUGACAUCCGGAGACUAGCUCUUUUAAUCUUGGUGCAAGCCUGGCCGCAAGGAUUUUUGUGAUUAUCUUGGCCAAACUGUUGAUAAGGCUUAUUGAUCAAAAACCUAAAAUGUUGAUUGCCUCAUCGGCAGAAGUGACCACGAACCAGAACCUGAGCGUCAAUGAGGUCGUCCUGCACGAGCAUAAUCGGGUUGACUCCACGGAUGUUGGUGCGUGGCGCGUCAAUAAAAUUCUCCUCGAAGACCAUGGCGGCCAUCAAGGCAGGUGAUGCCGACAACUACCCUGGUGGCCAGUUGUGCAUAAUUUGCCUACAAGUUCCGGAAGCUCGCUCAAAAACUAAGUGUUGAUCAAAUGGUCACAACCCUCUUCCAUUUCAUCGAAUGAAUUAUCCCAUUUAAGCAUAAAUUAUUGCGACACAUCAAUUCAAUGUCAUGACCAAGAAUACGCAAACAUCAACUAGAGUUUAGGACAUAUUUGAAACCUAGGUAUAUAAGAAACAAAAGAAUGAGUAGAAAUACAUGAAUGGGUAGGAACGAGGUUGCAAGAAAAAGUAAUAAACAACACAUGAAUAAUAGAAUAUUUGAAUAAUAAAUUAAUAUUAGUACAUUAAUGAUGAACAAAUUAAUAGAUAUUUACAAUUAUGCUUAUAGUAUUUAUUCUUUUGUGACUUACAUCUUGGCCCCAUCACCGUACAUGCGAUUAGCCGAUUACAACGCCAUGGCUUAGCUCAGUUUGUUUGAUAGAUCGAGCCGGGCUGAAUUUAACUGAACCUAUGAAUGAGCCCAGCCGGCUUAUGACCCUUGAGCUUUUUUACCUGUUCUAAAUGCUAAUGAGCUAUUGUGGAAAGUUUUCUACAAAGCUUAGAGCUAAUUUUCAUGUUUCUCCAUAAGUACAUGCACAAUUGUCGUUCCUUUGGAAAGUUUUGUGCCAAUUCCUUUGUUCCAAUCCGUGAGAGAGAAGAUAAUUCCUAUGGAAUGGGAUUCCUGUACAUUUCCUGCAUUCUUCCACCAAUACAAACAAGACCUUAAAAGAUUGUAAAAGGUAUAUAUAUCAUCAUCCCAUUCUGUUUAAAAAACUUCCGUACAAUUCAUGCAACUGGAACUGUAGAGCGUACCAAAUAUAAGCACAUCUAUUUCUAUUAGAAUAUAUUAGAAUUUCUCCAGAUAUAGUAAAUUAGGAUCAUUUUACUUGCCUUAGCGGAGGCCACUAGCCCCCUAAGCAAUAUAUUUCUAUAUAGUCUGUUCAUAAGGCUUCUAUUUUCUCACAUGAUUCUAGACCUCAAACUCUAAUCUUUCAUUGCUUGGUGUGCCCCUCUCAACAAAGGGCAGUGUGGCCUGUACCUAUGGCUCAUGCUGCCGGUCAUGUUGGUUGGCCAUCCUAUUGUGUUUUUUUUUCAAUAUGUUGACUGGGGUUUCUCCCUAAUCGUUCCAUGAUUGACCCGCCAUCCUCGCACGUCCCUAGAAAGCAUUUUCGACCCGCCAUAAGCCACUUAGCUCAAUGAACUUGGACUAGCUCGUGACACUUACGGCUAGGCUUGUGCACACAAUCACAUGCCCUAAAUAUUUUUGGGCAAUCUAAGUGCGUCUUGAAUUAUUUGUUUUCUCACUAAAAAAUAAUUGGAAGGUUGUGUCUGACCUGGAUCUAGUCUUGAAAACAGGGCUGCCUCUGCCCGUAGGACGGUUGUGAGCAUGAAUUUUAAGCCUAAAUCUAGUCUUUUUUUAGCCUAGUCCAACUUUUGCUCAGAUUUACGAACCCCUACCUCGAAUAGGCAUACUCCAACAGUCUCUUCCUCAUCUCUAAUUAUGCAGCAUGGUGCGCCCCACGACGCUUUAGAGGAUGCCCUCCUACACUGCCUCGAUGCUAUUUUGUUCGCAUGUUGAUCUACACUGGCCCAUCGUCUCCCGCUACCGAUCGGAGUUCCUACCAAAUUGCUUCCUCACCGGCAAAUCCUCCUUGUGUGGUGCGGCUCCCUCAUGUUGUGCUGCUCUGUGCUCCGAUCGACAGUUUUGGUAGGCCUAACCCAUGCUUUCUAUAACCUUGUGUGCCAUCGGUCUAUCCAACCGAGAGCCCGCGGUCCGCUUUAUCCUUUUGGCACACGAUCAGUCUAACCAACUUUGCCCCCGCACUUACAGGAACCUGUGAAGGUAGUCCCCAAGUACGAUGCGCUUCCUCUCUGAGCAUACAUCUGAACUCACACAUAAACAAUCCACAUACCUGUGAGUGUACCUCUUAUUUCUAUCACAACCUAUAAAUAAUUUUUUGUAUGUGCAUAAAUAGUAGACAACAUGAUUUGAAAUUUUGAAUCCAUGUGAAAGGAUUCGUAACUAUACAUAUACACUCACUAAGAGGUGGAUAUUAUAAGAAAACCAUAUAAAGCUUAAUACCUUUAAAUAUGCUUCUAGACAAAAGAUAUUAUCCUGAACAUAGUUGAAAGCUAUUAUAUAGCAUCAUGUAAUAGCCAAUACAAGCUAUAAGUGUGAGACUUUAUAAAAGGGUAGUCAUUUCAAUAUGAUAAACUAAGUCCAUUGCAUUGCUUGUAUAUAUAUUCUAUAUCUGAAGUUGUAAGACCUCUCUAUUUCUCUCAUGUACUAUCCUCGACAUGUUAAGUCACCUUUCUCCACAUAACAAAUAAUCAUGAAAAGACUUCAUGACAGCUUAGUCUUCACCAUUUUUUUUAGAAAAGCAAAUGCCGAGGGUUAAGGUUGAACGUCAUCAUACUUCCUCCAUAUACAAAAAGUAAUACUUUGUGCUAACGUGUUCAUUGACGGAACCCCUGGCCAUUCAAAAAUUAUUUUUAUCUUUUGAAUGAAUGACAAAGUAGAGAACAACAAAUGUCUUUCAUAUAUUAAUAUUUUAUUUUAAAUGUAAAAUAUUAAAAUGACAUAUAUUUAGCAACAAAACAUAAAGAAUAGAAUAUUUAUACACCCAUAUGUAAAGUUAUGGAUAUGCGACUAAUGUAUAUUGCUUCUAGAAUUCACAAAACAGGUGAUAGUGUGUGCAUAUAAAUAACAGACAAUUUACCUUGGAUAAACUAACAUUGUUAUCUUAGGAGAUCAAUUAGUUUUUGAAGUAAAUGUUGACAUUGUCACAUAAUAUAGCUAAAUUGUCAAUGUAGAUAGUUUGUUCAUGAAAAUUUAUAUAUAAAAUUUUGGUACUAAUGGAUCAUGAUAAUUUUAUUCUAUUUAAUAAAAUGGAUAGGGUUAUAUGCUGACCUAAACUUUGCAUCGUGUUUAUCAUGUAUGUGUGAUCUAUCGCAAGGAUACGUGGUACUUUGUGUCAUUUAUUGAACUCACGCAUGUCUAUUCGUGGAUUAUAUGAGAAGAAGACGUCUUUGUUCUGAUACCAUAAUGUAUUUGCCUUGCAUUAGUCAAGCCAAACGUUUAAGAGCCGUGAUCCCGCUCUGCUACUAAUCAAGAUUGAAACAAAGCUCCAUGGUGACCACAAACUAAAAUUUGAUAGUGUCAAUGAUGUUGUCCUAUAUGAGCAUGAUCAUGUCAAAUCUAUUGACCAUGUCCAUGGUCACGACAGCUGUAAAGACACCCAUCGAGGCAGCUGAUGCCGGUAGUCUUUGCUGGCCAUAAGUUCUGGUAUCGUAUACUUAAAAACUAGAAUGUUUCUUAAAUGAUCAGCACUGAUUCUUCCAUUGCAUCAGAAUCCUACAUUGAUUCGAUUGUAUGAUUGUACUUCAAUUCAAAAUUACAAGAUUGUGAUAGUCAUAUGUGUACUAUCGUCAGCAUUCGGUUUACAACUUGCAUAUAUAUAUAUAUAUAUAUAUAUAUAUAUAUAUAUAUAUAUAAUGAUCAAGGAGAUCAAGGAUAAAGCAAAUCUACGAAGUGCAACGGGCUAUGAGGAUAAACAAUAUUAUUUCAAAUAAUAUUGUAAUAGGCUUUUUUAUUUGAUUUUGCUUCAUGUUGUUGGGAGUUCGAAGCUACUUCUCCACCCACGUCAACCUCUUUGAGCAUGUCUUGCUCGGCAGCCUAACAUCAACAUUUGUUUAAGUAAGUCUCCCUCGACUAUACCUUUCUUUUCCAAGUCUUUGGGAAAGGGGAGGAACUUGCAUAGCAACUGUGCUAAUGGUUUUUCAUAUCAUUCAUUUUUAAAUUUUAAAAGAGAAUUAGUUACAAUUGGAAAUAAACUUUUUGUAUCUUCAUCUAUGGAUCAUUUACUCAUAUUUAAUCAAUCAAAAAACUUCAAUCCAAAAUUAUGCUUCACAACUCUGUACUCAAAAUCGAAUUUGUGUUUUUGGAUGCAAGUCAUUUAGUCUUUAGAUCCUAAUUGCAAGAAUUCUCUCACGCUAUUGAGACGAAAAGAAAGUACUAAUUGAGCUUAGCUGGUAAGAUUCCUUGUGGUUCCUUGUGGUAGAACCUACCCACACGAGUUUGAGUCCUCUGCUCAUUACGAGUGUUUGUAUUUUUUUAGAUUUAUUAUAUAAUUUAACCAGCGUUAUUCUUUUAAUGGUUAGCAUGGUUAGCGAUGUGACCGUCGACUUCGUUAAUCUUACCGGCUCCCUCUCGAAGGUGAUAAGGAUAAUAUUAUUAUGUACAUGUAUGCAUAGAGGUGAGCGAGCGUCACGGCUUCAAAAUUAGGUGUAUAUAUAGAUAACCGAAUAAUGCCGUAUGUGAAAAAAAUCCAUAAAAGCAAACGGUAGAGUUUGAAUACUUCCUUGAUCCAUACACAUUUAGCAACUCUCAAGUAGCUAAAGCAAAACUACAAUUGAUUCAACGAGGAGUUGUUUGAAAACUAGAGAUUAUACAUUCCAUCAACAAUAUGCAAGAAACCCCUCUCGAUAAAUGUAGUCAAUCAGUCAUUCAAUUGAUCUCGUGCUAUUUCUUAGCUUCUUCACAGAAUUCAUAACCAUAAAUGAUCUUUAAACUAGAGGACAACAAGAAUUGAAAUUCAGCAUGGGUGGUUCUCUCGCAGCUACGGUAGGAAGACUAAUGAUGCGAUGAUGGCUCUGUGCCCUUUUGUGGUUCUAUGCGCAUGCAGAUGGGGCUCCUAUGCAGUUGCGGCUCUGCAGUUCGGCUUACUGACAUGUGAUCCCAGAUCCACGCGUUAAGAACUCAAUUGCAGAAUAAUACUAAAACAGUACUUUAGAGGGUCCACUUUCGCACAUGCAUGCGUUAUCGAGCCAGCACCAGGUAGUCCAGCCCAACACAGAGGGUGAGCACUUUUUGAGCAGGCUAUUUCUUUUGUUUUAAGCUCAAAUGUACGCAAUAUGGCCCAAAUACGAAAAUACAUAUACAGAUGCAUGUUACUACUACUCCGUCCAUCCUAAAUAACAAAUCAUUAUACGAUUCCAAUAAUAUACGAUUCCAAAUAUAGCUAAUAAAUAAAUAGGGGCAAUUAAGAUCAUUUUACAUGUCCUAAAUUCUUUAAGGGCAAUCGAGAUCAUAUCCUAAAAUUCUUAGUCUUAGGUUAGACUUAUGUUUUAGGAUGGAGGGAGUAUAAUUUUUGAUCAAAAUUAUUGGAAGUACAUCCAUGUUCAUCAGCUGGGUCCACCCUUGUGUGCGUGAAUGUAUGUGACCGCUCGAGAUGACACGAAAAAAAGGGCUCUUGAACGCACGAUGUGCAACACAUUUCGUUGGACGACUAUAGCCUACAAAAUUUUAUCUUCGCAGCACAACCCGAACCAUUCGUAAACCUGGCUCUGGUUCAUACUUCUAUGCUGUGCUCAUACACCUUCAAGGCAUAAUCCUUGCCUGCAGCUGCAGAACUCCCUAAUCCUUCCACGGAUCGCUCUCGGUCCUCACUUCAGAGGGUUCAACCACCUCUGUCACGGCACCUUCAGAAGAAUCAACCUCAACGCUGGCUUCGCUAGAGGUAGCUUCAGCGUCCUCCGUAUCUGACCUUCCCCAUCUCCCACCAAGGGCCAUGGUCAUCAUCUCGUAGAUCUUGCCUCCCAACUCCGCUGGACUUUCAGGCUGGAUAAAAGAAGUAAAAGAUCACGUCUACGGUCAUAUUUAUCAUCCUAACAAGUACAUAGGUUUGUUGCACUUACAGUAUACCCGCUGGAGAUCAGGGCAGCCUCAUAUAACAACUCAACAGCCCUCUUGGCUUCAGUACUUUCGGGCUCAUUUUUGCAAGCAGCCUGUGAAAGUUUGUGAUAUACAAAUGAAUUUUACACAUUGAAGUAUGAAGCAUCACAAAAGAACAAACUAGGUAGUAAAAUUUUAACAGAGAAGACUGAAGGAAAAUCUUACUCUCAGAUCCCUGAUGAUAGGAUGGUCAGGAUUGAUUUCGAAAAUUCGUCUACCUCUCAUGAACUCUAAGCUUGACGUGUCGCCAAGUGUCUGUGCUUUCAUGAGCCUAUCAGAUUUAAGAAUCGCAUGUUAGGAAAACAAAGUUUUAGGGUAAUAUUCAGGUUGUAUGGGGAUCUCACCAAUAAAUUACCUUUCCAUAUUGGCUGACCAACCAAAUUUGCCAGAUACGAGAACACAUGGAGAAGAGCUGAGUCGCUUUGAGAUCUGGACCUUAGCAACUUUAUCACCAAGCUGCUGCUUUAUCCAGUCGCAUAGAAGAGUAUACUCCUGCUUGCUUUCUUUUUCCUUGUCCUCAUCGUCAUCACCUGUACCAGCCAAUAUGUAUCAGUUUGAGCACUGCCAAACCCAAAGAAUUCAUAUCAAGUCAUAUAGCAACUAAGGUUUUACUUACCUAAUUCCAAGUCCUCUUUGCUAAUAUCGACAAAUUUCUUCUCUUUGUAUGUCUGUAAAUUCUGAAUCGCAACCUCAUCAAUCGGCUCAAUGAGGUAAAGAACCUACAAAAGAAGAUCACUAUGAGCAAAACUGUAGCACAACAAGAGGAAAACGAUUAUCUGUUCAAUAACAAAGUUGUCCUCAUACCUCAAUAUCUUUCUGAACCAGCUUUUCCAAGAAAGGAGCAGUCUUUGCACUCUGGAGACUAUCGGUAGCAAUAUAAUAGAUUGCCUUCUGGGUUUCAGGCAUGUUUUCUACAUACUGAUCGAGACUUAUCAAAUCUGUCUCAUUUUUGGAAGAGUAGAACCGUAGCAAUGGUGCAAGACGCUUGUGAUUUCCAGUGUCCUCAAUGCAACCAAGCUUCAUGAACUUGCCAAAGCUCUCCCAGAAUUUUUUGUAGUCCUACAGCAUGAGUGACAGCAAGCUUCAACAUAAAUUAAAUAAUAUAACAGCUUUUUUUCUCGAAAAUAAUAAGUUAACAGCUGCAGAUGGAAAAGAAAAGGUUCACUCUUUGCUCAUACCUCUUUGUCAUCCUUCUCGGCGAUCUCUUCAAUCAUGUCAAAUGUCUUUCUAACGAGUCUCUUACGCAUAAUUCUGACCUGAAAUAUAGGGAGAAUAACCAUUAUAUUCAAACACCAACAUACCCUGCAUAUGCCAUGUUUAAUCAAAUACAUUAUAUGAGAGAUUUUUCCAGAACUUACUAUUCUACUUUCUUGAAGGAUUUCACGAGAAACAUUCAGAGGGAGAUCAUUUGAGUCAACUACACCUUUCACAAAGCUCAAGUACCUGGGAAACUGUAGAGAAUGAUACAUUCAGUAACCCAUUCAUGCCAACUGUAAGUUGUCUAAUAUGAUGGACAGCUAUAAUGAUACAUAAAGGAAACACACCAGCUCGCCAUCAAAGUCGUCUGAUAUGAAGACUCUUUUGACAUACAGUCGGAUGUUUUUGGUCUUUGGAUUCAUUAUCUCCUCAUUACUAAGGGGUGCCAUUCCUGGGACAUACAGGACACUUCGAAAUUCCACCUCACCCUGUUUAAUACACAGAUCAAGUUAACAUGUUUAAUGCACAUAAACAGAAGAAAAUGUAAAGUUUGAAACCGCCCACACCUCUGUGGUGAAGUGAGUGUAAGCAAGAGGAUCCAGGAACUCAUUAAAUGUCUUCUUGUAGAAUUCAUUGUACUCAGUUCUCUCAACUUCCUUUGGACUCCUCAUCUGCAUGGAAGAAAACAAACCAACUUCAGUCUCUCCAACAGCAAAUAGAAACCUAAAUCUGUGAAUGUACCCAUGGCGCAUAUUUUAAAUGAAUAUAUUAGGAAUAUUGAGCUUGUGGUAGGAAUAUUGAGAUUAUGGUAUCACAUAUGUUGGCAUCAGCUUACCCAUAUGGGCUUCGUCUCAUUAGCCAAUUCCCAGUCCCAGUACUUCUCAGUUAUAGUUUUCUUCUUUUUCUGCUUUUCACCCUGUAACAGAAGAGGAUACAUGUAAUACAACACUAACAGUGAGUGAAUUUGAAAUCAAAUAAAAUCAUAUGAGCACAGAACUAACCUCAGUAGCCUCUUCACCUUCUUUUGAUUCUUCCUCCUCUUCAACCUGUUCAGAUAAAGAAUGUAAGUGCAAAAAAGAUGGGAAAACUUCGACAAUAAUUGCAGCAGAAGCAAGCAUUAGAAUAAUCAUGUCAUUACCUCAACCGUUCUUGAUUUCUCCUGCCAUGUGUAUAUAGGGAACGAGACAAACUGCGAGUAGUUCUUAACUAGGCCUUGAAUUCUUGCAGGAUCAGCAAACUCGUACUUAUCAUCAUCCUGAUGUAACAAGACAGCAAUAAGAAUUCUGCUAGAGGAUGGAUAUCAUAUUGAACAAGUCUUAAGUUUUCUUACUCUCAAGUAAAGAGUAAUUUGUGUUCCACGUGUCAGCAUUUUCUCAGGAUUGGUUUCUUCCUUGAUAACAUAAGAGCUGCUGUCAGCCUCUGCCUCCCACACAUACUGCUUAUCUGCCUUUGGACUUUUAGUUGACACCACAACCUGCAAGGUGACAAAGAAUAUGCGGAAUUACUAACAAGAUCUAGAAAUGUUUUCAGCUUGCAAAGUGGCUGUAAGAAUAUUUGGAAAAACAGAUUUGGAAAGUGAUGCAGAUUCAUCAACCCAGCCAUAUGAUCCAGAUAUUCCAUACCUUUUCUGCAACAAGGAAAGCCGAAUAGAAUCCGACACCAAAUUGACCAAUAAGUCCAUUAUCUGCACCAAGAUCUUUGUUCUCCUGAACAAUACAGGGAAAAACAAAUUAUUAUCAACAAAGGAGAUGAUAAAAGUUGAUUAUGGAACACAAAACUGAUGUAGCUAGAUGGACAAAGAAGUGCACCUUUAAAGCCUUCAAAAAUUUUGAGGUGCCACUUUGCGCAAUGGUUCCAAGACAAUCUUUGAGUUCAUCUUUAGUCAUUCCAAUGCCAGUAUCUCUGUGAGAUUCACAAAACUAGUCUGAAUAACAAUUCAAUUACAUUUGAUGAUUAAUCUGGUGGUGGCUGCGGACUAAUGAACAACUCACGUGAUAGUGAUUGUCCCAGCAUCUUGGUCGGGUUUAAUCCUUAUCUCCAACUCACCACCAUCAGCCAAGACCGAGGGAUCGGUUACACUGAGGAACCUCAGCUUAUCCAAUGCGUCACUCGCAUUACUGGAUGACAACAUAAAUUUUGUUGAGAUCAGAUGAUCAGGAGGUGUGGAAAUGCAGUUUGUGAACAGCAAUUCAUCCUUGGUCAUAAUAACAGGUCAAUUGAAUUCUACAUGUCGAGAAGAUGACUAACCUUACAAGUUCACGGAGAAAUACUUCCUUGUGGCUGUACAGACUGUGCACAAUUAAGUCCAUCAAGCGGCUAACCUGCAGUGCAAAGAGAACCGCCACAUAAAUACCCAAGCAUUCAAUUGCAAAUUCUACAAAGUCAAGCAGAAUUUCAAUUGCAAAUUCUACAAAGUAAAGCAGAAUUUGACGACAGGGUUAUCUUCAAUGUCACGAAAGGCGAAUUUAGCCAUAACAAAAUGCAAGAGCAUGCUGCAUACAUCCCACAGUGACAAUUCAGGCACUCCCAAUCCCAAAUUCCACCAAACCGGCACAAUUUCCAGAACACAAACCUCAGCCUGGUACUCGAACUUCUCGCCGGCCGUCUCCUCCUCAGUGGGCUUCUCGGCGACGGCGGCGUCGCACCCUACCCGGACAAUCCUCCGCCUCCCGGCUUCCCAUCUCACCCCUCUCGCCGCGGCGGCCCUACCCUGCGGCACGAGCGCCGCCCGCGGCAGGAGCCGGAACGACGGGCUCGGCCGCAGCGCCGCCACCGACGACGCCCCGAGGCUCCUGAUCAGAACCGGCGCCAUGAGGUAGAGAUGGAGACCAAGGCCUCGCGGCUUGUUCCUGCGCGCGUGUGGUGGUCCGGUGUGACGCUUGGGAAGUGACGAAUGGAUAAGAGCUAGGGUUUAUACGGAGAGACGGGGAGAGGUGCGCAGGAAUGAUGGGUGCUGGGUUUAAGAGGCAGGGGAGACUGCCGGAGGGCGAGGAAGGAGACGAGGCGAGGCGGGGAGCCCGGAGGCUUCUAGAAUCGCGUAGGGCGCACGGGGGUGGCGUGUGGUGGGGCCGUUGCGGGCGCGCGGAUGGCACGGUUGUGGUUGCGCACGGGGCUGCGGCGGGGGCGCCGUCGGAUGAGGCGCCUCGACGGCGGGAUGGCACGGUUGUGGGCCGAAUACUGACUGGGCCCAUGACGUCACACGGCUUUUGGGCUCUACGCGAGUUGCAGCCCGAUAACAGUGAGGUGCCCACCGGCAUUGGGAGCCCAUCCAGCAGCCCGGCAAGACACUUUUCUUCUUUCUCGAGAUGGCCCAGGCUCAAAAAACACCUGCCAGAUCCGCACAUUUCCACUGACCUGGCCCAGGCCGCUCGCACGGCCGAAGCCUUCGGCGCGCCAAUAGGCCAGUAGGUGCUUCUUCACUCACACGGCCUCAACAACAUGCAGCCUGUUCGGUAGUGCUGGCUGCACAGCUGCAGCGCUGCUGCUGCUAACGUAACGGGCCGAUGGUCGCGAACCCGUGUCCCCGUACGCCGCCGGGUGCCGACACAGGUGCUGCCGCACUCCCGCCCGCCGUGUAGAGGUCGUGUGCUGCCUGCGUCCCGUCAAAUGAAACAGAAAGAAUGAGAGAGAAAGAAAGAAACGGCCGCGCGCGGCGCGCGCAGCACGCCCUCGACUCGACUCCUCCCACCCCGUUCCGCCGCGCCGCCGCAGAACCGGACUCGCCCCCGACCUGCCGGCUGCCACGUGAGCACCGCCGCCGGACAACGGACGCGAACGGUCAGGCUUCACAGUUCACACGUCCCAGCCGCCGUUCUUUGCCUGCCUAGCGCCCUAGCCCCACGUCCUCUUCCUUUCAGGCUCCAGCGGUCGCCGACCGUUCCUGACAACGAACGAGACCGUGCGCGCAUCAUGGGGGAAUGCACUCACGUGCUCCGGACGGGAUUGCCUGGCGCUCAAGUACAUUUGGAGCCGGACUCCGAGCGACACGAACAGAGGACAAGCUCAGAAGCAGGCCAGCACACAACGGUGGCCUGGCCACUUGUGAUUGUAUUGUACGUUCAUGCCGGCGCCUCUCAAACCCUCCGCACGAUUAUUUCAAAAAAAAAAACUCCGCACGAUAAUUCCAGCUGCCGCGCCCGCCCGUGCGGCUCUGAGUCAAAGAUCUGAGACGCCAGAGCUGAGUCAGGCGUUGGAGUCUGGAGCAGCAGCUAGCGCCGAGCCACUGUCAUGUGGGUCCCGUCUAACGACCGGCCCCAUGUUCAGCGUCUCGGGCUGGGAGACCAUGCACCGUCGGGGAACUAACCCUUGCCUGAUCUCUCGCGCCCAUUUUUAAUCCGGCCAGCACGACGCAGUUGGCUCCAGAUCUUUGACCGGCCGGGGGGAGCGCUGAGGCUGAGCUGAGAUCAAAACAAAACAAGCAUUAGGCCCUAAAAGAUUACUGCUUACUAGGGCCACGAAUCUUGACUGUCACGUAACGUGGCCUCACACCACUUGGGUAACCUCAAACUAAACCUCCCCGAUCAGCUUUAAUAAUCCAUCUCUCACUCUGUCGACUCACUCGCCACUUGGACGGUUGGACCUCCAGAUCAGUCACGCUGCAACCUGCAAGGGGUGGCCCAGCCUCGGUCGAACCAAUGGCGCGGCGCCACGUCGAAACGGACACGGACGUAAAUAAAGUGGCCGUUUUUGUUUAACUCCGUGUCGUGCAAGCAAUUAAGCGCAGAUCUUGGUGUUGAUUAGCGCCCGCCCGCAGCACAGUGCCGGAUCUGUGAAGGAAUCCGAGACCGUAGCUAGUGAUCUCCCUGCACGCGCCCAAAAAAAAAAAGUACCAAGUACUAUAAAGACAACAGGGGUGGAUCUCACGCGACGUAACUGCCGAUGUUCACUGCUCCCCAUGGACGCGAGGUUCGUCGAUCCGAAGACACCGCAGGACGACGCGUUCGGAUCGGCAGGCGCCUCAAUGCAAGGGAAAUUGGAGCCCGGGACGGUCGGCCCGAGUGGCCGGCCGCGGCCGGUGCGCCGUGCGAGCACCGGAGCCGCCCGGAGAUCGGUUGAAUUGGGCUGGCCAGGGGCCAGCCGAUCGAACAGCUCCCGGCCUCAGGUUUUGACAUCCUCCAUGUGCAGUCCAACCAGCGCGCGAGGACCACCGCAUCGGUGAGCGGGCGCGAGACAAGCCGGGGAUUAAGAAAAAAAACGGGAAAGGCGCACGACGCGACCAGGGACAGUUUGGUUUUCUAGAGGGGGCGUGUCAGGCGGCGAUUUGAAUACGCAGCGCCUCGCUUUGACUAGCGUUGGAGUCUCAGCUCUUGAGUUGAGAUCACUGUGGGUUCAGUUCAGUUCAAGUUCCUCUGCAGCUGCGAGCCACUGGCUCCUGACUCCUUAUAAAACCCUGCACCUGCCACCUAAACCUCUCCUUUCCUUUGAUUCUGGUUCUGAAUCAGCAGCUCCGUGCAAGUUGUAGAGCUGCCGAACAAGGGGGGUGGUGUGUGUGGCAAGAUGAGGUGCGCAGCUGUUCUUCUGGCGCUUCUGCUCUCCCUGUCUGCGCUAUCUGCCUCCACUGCUGAAGCACACGAGGUUAGUAAGUACAGUUUUGCAGGUACCUUCAGUUCAUAUGGAAGUCGUACACUUUGGUGUAGUGUUAGUGUAUUGAUAGUGGUAAAUGGUAAUCUACUGCUCGCUGUAAAUUUCUGAAAUUGUUUUCAUGAAAAAUGCAGGAACGAUUGGACGACGAUGCGGUAUUGUUAAGCGGUCGGAGAUGGUUGAGAGGAAGGAGAAUAAUCGCAGCUACUGGGCAUGGAGAUGCUGGCAAGAAAGAUGAGGUGGUGGAAGGAAAGGGAGCCAAGAGCACAGGUGCAAACGCUGUCCCUGUCCAUGAAGAGGAGAAAACUGUAGAGGUUACCGUUGUCGGGUUGAGUGGUGAGAGUCCUGGGCGUGGGAGCGGCGGCAAGCACAGAUUUGCCGGCCUCGUGCCGUUCAGUGCCGAUUACCGCACUCCGAGAACUCACCCACCAAGGAAUAACUGAAAGUAAAGCAGGCAAAUACCUCUCCUUGGUUUUCUAGCCUCUGAUAAGCGAUAUCUUCCGACUAAUCACCUAGAGUAGUUUUCUAGCACUGCUCAUUGCGUAGUCAAGUGUACCUGCAGCUUUUUUGAAUGCAAAUCACCAGUAGGUAUAGACGUAUAGCAUGAACGUUUGAGGAUUGAGCAAUGGUCUGAAACGCACCAUUUCUGUUGUUGCAGGAGCAGAUCAAGAAGCAGACGCACCUGCUGAAGCUGUACAUGAUUCGGUAAGUGCAUUGGUCUAUCAAUUCAGCGUCUCAUAUGCCUUUCUGCGGCACACAUUUGCUUACCAGUUACCACUGCCUGCUGUGUUUGCUUAUAUUCCUGCAAUCUGCUUUCAGGGUAAAAGGAGCAAGGGAUCAGCAACUCAUGCCAUGUUUCAAGCACCAAGGCAAGGAGAUACGGCCGCAGUGAUCCCCGAGGUCCUCGGCAUGGAUUACAACUACAAGCUGGAUGCCCGUCACCACCGACCCAUCAACAACGACGCUCCGCUGGAGGAUAUUGCCAAGAAGCCCUAGGUAUUGUGAAUAUCCUGGAGCAUGAGAGAAGCUGGGUCCUCUUGCUUUACAGAUACAUCUAACCACAAUAGCCAUUAGCUAAUGGUUAGCUUAGCUAGUUAGGAACUCGCUCUCCAAGCCACGUGUAGCCCGUUCUUGGCACUCAUGGAACAAUCUGAGGUCACUGGAAUGGUCAGUUUUGGUUGUAAUGUGCUUGUAUGGAGAGCAUCUGUAAUUUCUCACCAGCAUUUCUGAAGUUGCAGACAAUAGAGACUGAUGCUGAUCCUUCAGGUAAUCACUAAUCAGGUUGCAGCAUGUGUGCAAACAGCCAUGAAGUCAUGAAAUUCUGUCCUGUGACGGGAGUUGUUUCGGCCCUCUUGGGCCGAUGAAAACAUUAAACAUGUCAUGCUUCGGCCCAUUACCUGUAAGAUGGCCUAGGUUGGGGUUUGUGCUUCGGCCCAUAAAGAACACUGCCAGCCUGUUGUUUGUAAUGUUGGUGAUGAACACCGCCAGACUUAUCUCUGAUGUAGAAAUCCUCCAGAACUUAAGCACCCUAAAAGUUAUCGCAAAGUUGAGGUAACAAUGCGUUAGAAAACAAAGGAAUCUUAUAUUAUUACUCUGGAAACUUUUCAAUUAGAAUCAAACAAAUUCAUUUGAAGGUUGUAAAUUCUGCCAGGUAUAUAAACAGUUUGAAGAGUAGUUUGUUACAGCAAUAAGUUAUAAAGCUAGUCAAACGAAUAAAGUUCUCAAGAAAUCUCGUAUCCAUUUUAUGAUGUUCACAACUUCAUAAUUUUAUCAGCAGGUUUGUAUGCAGCAACUGUUUCAGAUUACAAUUGCAGCUGCGCACAAAGUGCUACUUCUUCUGAGAGCAGAGUUACAAGGCAGAAACACUGAAACAGCUACCAGAUCUUCUGGUGCUACCAACCAGUCACAAUCCCAGAGUUUUUUAAUAAAGGGAAAAAAGGCUAUGACAUUUAUCUGUAAAACAAGAUAAUAUCCAAAGGGCAGGUACUUAUUAAUUUUAGAAAAUGGCUGUGACAAUCCGGGGUUAAAAAACCAUGUGUUUCUGAAGAGUGAUGGCCUGAUGGGUAGCAUUUCAGUUAUAACACUGAAUUUCGGCACCCCAUUCAAAUGAUGUUCAUCAGCAGCUAGUACUUAAAAGAUCGGUUCAUAUACUUUGGUUCAGCUAAUAAACCAGCAGUGCCAUAGGAAAGACCAGAGUUAUUUCUUCAAAAAAAAAAAAUCUGAGUUACAUUCCAUCAUCCUCAACAUCUCCGAUCACACUUCCAGAUAUCUCGUCAGCCGGGAGAGAAGAUUUGGCAUCACCGCGGACUACGUCAAGGCGAUCCGCUCUCGCCCAUGCUGUUCAUAUUGGUGAUGGACGUGCUAAAUAGGCUGUUUGGAGCUGCCAGUGAGCAGGAGCUGCUCCAGCCGAUGGGACACCCUGCAGUCAAGUAUCAGUGCAGCAUGUACGCGGAUGACGUGAUCCUCUUCGCCUCGCCCACGGUACAGGAGGCCCAAACAAUUGCCAGAGUCAUAUCCAUCUUCGGCAGAGCCUCAGGGCUGGUAACAAAUCUGUCCAAAUGCUCCAUCACACCAAUCUUCGGAGUAGAGGGAAUGCUGCCAGCAAUACAAGCAGUCCUACCAUGCCAAAUCAGCCAAUUCCCAAUCACUUACCUGGGAGCACCGCUAUCAACCACUGCCAUUCCCAAGGGACAGAUAAGGCCGCUGGUGGAGAAGAUUGCCAAGAGAUUGCCAACUUGGAAAGGACCGCUCAUGCCAAAGAGUGGACGGCUUACACUCACCAAAUCGGUACUCUCUACGGUGCCGAUCUACUUGCUCAUGGCCGACCAAUUGCCAGCUUGGGCGAUUGAGGAGAGCGAUAGGAUACGACGGAAGUUCUUCUGGGCCGGCCAAGAUGUAUCGGUGCGGGGCAAAUGCCUAGUGGCAUGGACCACUGUUUGCCUUCCGACAACACAGGGAGGACUUGGGGUUCUGGAUCUCAAGCUGGCAGGCUACGUGCUGCGGACACGCUGGUUAUGGCUGCAACGUACUGACCCGGACAGAGCUUGGGCUGCACUGCAAUUCAAAAUUGAGCCGGAAGUCAAAGCACUCUUUGAAGCAUCCGUAACAGUCCAUGUGGGAAACGGAGAACGCACGCUGUUCUGGACAGACAACUGGAUGAAUGGCCAGUCUGUAUGUGAUAUGGCGCCGACGCUGACGGCACUUGUGCGGCCGAACAUCAAGAAAAGGAGAACAGUGGCGCAGGCGAUGGCGAACAGACAGUGGGUGCGCGACAUAACGGGCGGACUGUCGUAGAAGCUUUGGUCGAGUGCCUGCAUCUGUGGGACACAUUGGAAGCAGUUCAGCUGCACACGGAGCAGGAAGAUGCAGUUCGAUGGCGGUGGACAGCUGACGGCCAAUACACAGCCAAAUCAGCGUAUCAGAUGCUCCACAAGGGGCGAACAAGUCUACAAGGAGCAGAACUCAUAUGGAAGACCUGGGCGCCGUUGCGUGUGAAGCUGUUCCUCUGGCUAGCAUGUCGACGGCGCAUCUUAACGGCAGACAGGAGGAGGCGACGGGGACUGGAGGCGCACGACACCUGCUUCAUGUGUGACCAAUCCAACGAAACAGCAGACCACCUGCUGGUCUCCUGUUCAGUGGCAAAGGAGGUAUGGUGGCUCGCGUUCUCCUGGGCACAGUGCCAAUGCAGCUUCACAGGACCAGAGAUGACGAUCCAAGACUGGUGGGAGCAUCCAGGACCGAAGUGCCUGCCGUGCGGCGCGCUGUAAAACUUUAAACCCAUCUGUGCAGAUCUCCUACGUAUUCGAGAAAAAAUGUGCAGUAAAUAUAUUAGGACGCACAAAAUUUUUUUGGCAAAGUUCAUCAAAUUUGAAUUUUGUAUCUUGCGCAUCAGAGCAGCUACCCGAUGUUGUUCGCCAGUCCGUGGCGUCUCGCCGGUCUCCGCACAGUCCACGCCAACAUGCAUCCGCUCGACCGCUCAGCAGGAAACAAACAGGUUCUCCUAGCGAGUACCAAGGCCAGCCCCAAGCCCCCAACUAGAGCUGCCGGCUGCGGGUCCUGCGGCGAUGCUUCCGAAUCUUUGGACUGCUCGCCUAGUCGCCUGCCCGCCCAAUGGCAGCCAUAGCGAACCGGACCACGCGAGCUUUUGCACUUUGGGUCCCAUGCCGCCGCCGGGAUAAGGCUGCGUGACAGCCAGGCCAAUGAUAGCUGCGGCCGGUCUCACUCUCUCUCCCUCGCUGUCACUCAAGCCGCUCCCUGCUCAGCGUCGCGGCGGAGCGGCGUACGCGUCCGUCCAUCCAUCGGCCCAUCGGCAAGCGACGGCGACGGGGCGGGACACCUGUCGCCGUUGGGUUCGGCAGAUGGCGCCGCCGGCGAUGGACGUCGUCUUCCUCCCACCAGACCGGACUGACCGGUUACUCUUCUCUUGAUCGGCGGCGACUCAUAGUUUCAUCCCAUCUCUGCCGUGUGGAAAAAGUGCAUGCGCUUUGUCUGGCCCUGAGGCGGACUGGCCACCUAACCUGACGGGAAUAAAAGGGUUAAGAGGUCACUUAUGUUAUGGAUAACAACAACACCACCGGUGACGGAGACGAGACACGCAACGACACCCCCCGGAGCCCACAGUCCGCAGGCAUGCUGCUGGCGAAAUCAGGAACAGCAACAGCCCCGGACUCAACUCCUCCAGGCGCUGACGUCGCAGCAGGAAACUGAGUCAAAAUAUUGGCUCUUUUCGCGACAAGAUAUUACAGGAUAUUAUUGCACGAAAAAAAUUAUCCCAACUAGCAGUCAAAACAAUGCGUGCUAAUAAACCAUAUCUGGAGGUGAGAUCGACAUGGAAGGAACGGAUGAGCCCCCACACCGAUGCAAUCAACCAAUCAUGCAAACCACGAAGUACGCGCGGCACAUGGGAUUGGAAAGAUCUGUGGGCAUUCUUUGACGCUUUCUGAAGCAAGUUCCAGAUCGUUCCUUCCAAGUACAAGGCUAUCAGCGUUGGUAUUUUUUUAACACGUCCAGCACACAAGCUCCAAAGCAGAGGAACAAACAUACAGUACAGCCAGAAAACUACAGAUAGAGACAGCAGGUGGUAUUUAUGCAUAUAUCUAUAGCGAUAUCAUAGUUCAUAUCAAGGUAAGCGUCUUCCAAAAUGGUACAGCGGCAAAGCCGAAACGCAAGGCGAUGCCAGCACACUCACCACCAUCAGGUAACGGCCGAGAUCGAGCCCCGGUGUUGCGAGGUAGGAGUACUAUAUACAUACAAAGAAGAAAAGAACAACGCAUCCCAUAUGUCAAACACUAUGCACAAAACACACCAUUCUCCUGGCAAAGAUCAUCUCAUGUAAGGACGGUCUUAUUCUCGAACCACCUCUACCG